rnacentral:rRNA from 1 species
CUUGGCACUAGAAGCCGAUGAAGGACGUUACUAACGACGAUAUGCUUUGGGGAGCUGUAAGUAAGCUUUGAUCCAGAGAUUUCCGAAUGGGGAAACCCAGCAUGAGUUAUGUCAUGUUAUCGAUAUGUGAAUACAUAGCAUAUCAGAAGGCACACCCGGAGAACUGAAACAUCUUAGUACCCGGAGGAAGAGAAAGAAAAUUCGAUUCCCUUAGUAGCGGCGAGCGAAACGGGAAGAGCCCAAACCAACAAGCUUGCUUGUUGGGGUUGUAGGACACUCUAUACGGAGUUACAAAGGACGACAUUAGACGAAUCAUCUGGAAAGAUGAAUCAAAGAAGGUAAUAAUCCUGUAGUCGA